CCUGACGUCCCCUGGUGGUCUCGGGGACCCCUGCAGGAGGUUUGUGUCCGGGCUCACACUGACUUCCCCUCACUGUCUCUCACACAGUAAUACACGGCCGUGUCCUCGGCUCUCAGGCUGUUCAUCUGCAGAUAGAGAGAGUUCUUGGCGUUGUCUCUGGAGAUGGUGAAUCAGCCCUUCACGGAGUCUGCGUAGUAUGUGCUACCAUCACUACUACUAAUGUAUGAGACCCACUCCAGCCCCUUCCCUGGAGCCUGGCGGACCCAGCUCAUGUCAUAGUUACUGAAGGUGAAACCAGAGGCUG